rnacentral:rRNA from 1 species
GAUGAACGCUAGCGUCAGGCCUAAUACAUGCAAGUCGAACGGUGUCUUCGGACAUAGUGGCGCACGGGUGCGUAACACGUAUGCAACCUACCUUACAUUGGGGGAUAACCUUUCGAAAGGGAGAUUAAUACCGCAUAAGACAGUAGCUGGGCAUCCAGCAGCUGUUAAAGAUUUAUCGAUGUAAGCUGGGCAUGCGUCCAAUUAGCUAGUUGGUGAGGUAACGGCUCACCAAGGCAAUGAUUGGUAGGGGAACUGAGAGGUCAAUCCCCCACCCUGGCACUGAGAUACGGGCCAGACUCCUCCGGGAGGCAGCAGUAGGGAAUAUUGGGCAAUGGACGCAAGUCUGACCCAGCCAUGCCGCGUGCAGGAUGAAGGCGUUAUGCGUUGUAAACUGCUUUUAUACAGGAAGAAACGACUCUUACGAGAGGCAUUGACGGUACUGUAUGAAUAAGCACCGGCUAACUCCGUGCCAGCAGCCGCCGUAAAAC